ACGGAUUGAGGUACAUUAAUGUAAAUUUCAUCAGAAUGCAUGAGACACAUCCACUACAUACGUAUUAAUUCAACUAAUUCAUGGGAUUAAUCGAAUUGACGCCAUUAACUAGCUACGACAACAUAGUUUAUUUAGGAUAAUACAAUCACACCAUCAACUACGACAACAGACUUUACUUCAACAAAACAUAUAGUAUAUCGGAUUAAGGAAACCAUCGUGAGGUGGUCUCUUGUGAAACCGGUUUUUUAAAAAAAACGAUUUUUUGUGAACCAUGCAUUCAUGCUGUCCCAUUUUUUCCGCAGCAAGCCCAACAAUACCUUCCUGCAUUAUUACAGCCGCAGCAUCCAUACAUCUUCCUAUGUAUAACAGAAUCUGCUGGAAGAGGAAGAUGAUCAAUAUUCUGAUCAACAUCAUCUUUUGAGAGAGAAGCCCAUGAAACGACGUCGGAAUGAGGGCUACUAACGUAGCACCACAGUGCAAAUCCCAUAAGAAAUAUUGCAAACAAUAUUGGCAGUUUGGUAGCUCUAGACAUGCUUAAGUAAUUUCUACAAAACCCUAAUUUGUUUUUCUUUUCUUUGGUGGUGUUUUCUUGAAAUUAAUUACACAAAAUCAUGCAGUUUCUGUGGGUUUAUAU
rnacentral:lncRNA from 1 species